rnacentral:rRNA from 1 species
UACAGAGGUCUCAAGCGUUGUUCGGAUUCAUUGGGCGUAAAGGGUGUGUAGGUGGCGCGCUAAGUCGGGUGUGAAAUUUCGGAGCUUAACUCCGAAACUGCAUUCGAUACUGGCGUGCUUGAGGACUGGAGAGGAGACUGGGAAUUCAUGGUGCAGCAGUGAAAAUGCGUAGAGAUCAUGAGGAAGACCAGUGGCGAAGGCGGGUCUCUGGA